UUAAUGCUAAAAUACAUAUUCCUAUUUAUUUUCUUUUCAAAGCACAAAUAACCUUUCAAUUUAAAAAAAGAAACAGAACCCUUCAUUCUCUUUGGGUUCAUUAAGCAGCCGCCGAAACCACCAUCAAUUUGAUGGCUGACGGUGCACAAAUGGAGAUCAAAUCUUGCUGAGGAAGGCCUCGCCUACGAAGAUCUGGUAAGAGUACUCUUUUCCCUUUUUUUAAAAAAAAAAACUUUAAAAUCUUGUACUAUUCUGUCAAAAGCAAGGCGAAAUCCGACGAAAAAUAAGAGAAAACAACCCUAGCCCGAAUCACCAUUUUCCUGAGACAUGAGGGCUUUCAUCGGUGUUGUUUCAAGCAUCCUUUUCGUUUUCUAUGCUAAAAUAAUACGAGCAAAUCGACAGAAAAAAGGGAAAAUUUUGAAGUCACCUUUAGAUAACUUUCUUGAUUUCUUUUCUACUAUUUAGUAUAUGUAUUGUAGUGUGCGUAAAAAAAAAGGGAGAAGAUACAUUGAUAUUUCUUGGCUUUUUAUAGCCACAACAAAAAAAGAAAAAAUACAAGGUUUCUGCUUGUUUUUUGCUCUUGCAGUUGUGUCCGUCUUUUGCUUGUCUUCUUUUGCAGGUACGGAGGCAACGUGGCGGGGGUAGCUGGCGCGUACGGAGGCUGCUGGUGGCGCAACUGCUGCUAGGGCUAGGGUUUGCUGAAAUUUGGUUUAGAUAUUGGGCCUAUCGGGCCAUCAGGGUCAUGGGUUAGAGAUGGGGUUGAUUAGUUUUGUUUGGGUUUAUAAAUGGGCUAUUGGGUAUGAUAUGUAAUAGACUGAUAAUUGGACCAUUCAAUUAAUUUAUAUUUGGUUUAUUUUUAUUUAUUUUUUAUUUUGGUAGACCUGGGCAAAUUGGCCUGCUUACAAGUUUAAUUCGACUGAGUUAUAACAUUUGAAAGUCCGUAAGAACUGUAUGAAAUAUCUGAAAUUUUUGAUAUAUGAAUUGUUUAUGAGAUAACGUUAUAAUAGUAAGAACUGUAUGAAAUAUCUGAAAUUUUUGAUAUAUGAAUUGUUUAUGAGACAACUUUAUAAUAGUGAUAUUCGGGCUUUGAGCCUAGCAAGCCUUGUGCUGGUGAAUUAAAUGGGGCUUAUGCCUAGCAGGCUUAUUGCCGGUGUAUAAAAUUAGAUUUUGAGUCUAGCAAGCCUUGUGUCGGUGUGAAAUACAGGCUUAGGCCUAACAGGCUUUAUGCCUGUGAAUUUUUAUAAGUUUAUGCCUAAAACAUUUUAUGCUGAUGUGGUAAUUAAAUACGUUAAACGAGCUAAAUGAUCAGGUACGAGUUAGAUUGUUGUUUACUUAAGAUAAGGUAAAUAAGUAACUUGAUAUUUGUUACUAAUUAUGUGUGAUACAAAUGGAGAUUACAUGUGAAUUUAGUAUGUGUAUUCGGUCUUGUAAAUAAAUGGUAUGAAUAUUGUAGAAUUGAUUCUUAGAUAUGUGCAUAUAUGUGAUCAUGUAUAUUCGGCCAUAUAAGUGGUAUUGUACAUGAUGUUAUAUUAUGGUUCUUGAGCUUAUAUAAAUGCGUAUGUGUAUGUUUGAUUAUAUUAAGAUAUUUUGGCUUUGAAAGUUGAAUAAUAUUAGGUCAAAUUGAUUAAGUGAGCUUUUGGCCAAGGUAGAUUUCGUGUAUAAAAAUGUGAUAUUUAACUCAUUUGUAGGUUUGAUGUUAAGCUUGAUAAUGAUAAUAAAAUUUGGACUAGCUUAAAAUAAGUUAAUUAUAUCAUUGGGAUGUUUAUUUGCUUAUGACUUACUAAGCUAUUAUAGCUUACUUUGUGUUUUCAUGUUCAUUCUGUUUUAUAGAUUUUGGAUUCAAGUUACAAGCUCGGGGAUCGUCAGCAAAGUAUAUCACACUCUGUUUUCAGUAUUUUAUAAGUUACAUUUUGGAACUAUAGCAUGUAUAGGCUGGAAUGUGUUUUGGAAUGCUGUAUUUUGGUUUAUGUAUAAAGGCCAUGCAAAAAUGGCUUAAUCUUUAUGCUUGAGUAUGUUUUGGUUAAAUAAUGGUUUGAGUCUAUUUUACAUAUUAUGCCUACCUUGGAUGAUUAGAACUUGUGUUGUGUGUGUGCAUAUUGGGAUUGGUUGAUAAAUGAAAUGGUCAUAAUACAUGCAUAAAUAUGUUUGCUCAACCUAGACGCGUUUUGUAUAGGAAAAGUUAUAUAUAAAAUUUAGGUUAUUAUGUUAGGUUAACGUGCUAUAAAUGAGUUGGUAAUAAAGGACAUAUUAUAAUGACCGAAUAUGAUGGGAGAUAUAUUGUAUGUUUCUUUUAAAUAUGGUUCAUGGAAGUUGUGUUUUGAAUAUACAUAUGUAUCCAUAAUUGAUGAUUAAAUUAUCUUUGAAAAGUAUAUUUUAUAUCAUGUUUUGGUAUUAAAAUGUAUUCGGCUAUAUAUAUUCAUAUGACACGAAUUUAUUUUGGUAUAUGUGUAUUAUUUAAUAUGCUUGUUUUUGGAGAAUGGUAUACAAAUUUUGGUUAGCAUUGAAAUGAAUGGGACAUUGAGAUAUAUGCUACUUAUAUGAAUAUGAUGAUAUGUAACUUUAUAAAUUUACAAGUUGACAGAUCCAUUUAUUUAUAAGCUAUUAGUAUGCUUUGAAUGUUGAGUUCACAUAUUCCAUUUGAAUAUGAAAUGAAUUGUAUCGGGUUAUAAAUUAAGCAUUAGAGCUCUAUAUAAAUAUUUUUGAAUUGAGUAAUUGUAUCGAACUGUGUUAUGUCUGAUAAUACCUUAUAACCCCAAUCUGACGACAGAUAUGAGUUAGGGGUGUUACAUUUUAUUGGUAUCAGAGCUACGAUUUAGUCGAUUCUAGGACUAACGUAGCAUGUGUGAGUCUAGCUAUACAUGCCAUAAUAAUUACUGCGAUAGUGUGAUGACUCCUAACAUUUGAAAAUGUGCUUUUAUAUAGUAAAUGGAUCCCGUCAGAGCUGUAGCUUAUGAUGUCGAGAGUAUAGCGCCUGCUCCCGCGCAAGGGACAGCGACAGUUGAUUCUCGGCCGACCUCGAGUAGCCAUGAGGGGGAGGCUAAAUAGGCCUUCUAUCAAAUAAUGAAUGAUUGGUUUACUCAAUAUAUCUAGACUAAUUCGGCUGCACAACAACCUCCACACUCGAUUACUCCAUCUUUGAUACCUGCUAUACCUUAAAUAAGUGAUCCGUUGAGAUUGCCAAAGCCACCUGUUGAUAAAACCAGAAAACACGGGGCUAAAAAAUUUAGAGCUACUGAUGAUAAUGAUGCUGAGUGAGCUGAAUUCUGGCUUGAUAAUACUAUUCGUGUGUUUGAUGAGUUAUCUUGUACCCCGGAUGAAUGCUUAAAAUGUGCCAUAUCCUUGUUACGAGACAUCGCAUAUCACUGGUGGAAUACACUAGUGUCGGUGGUUCCGAAAGAGCGAGUGACCUAGGAAUUCUUUCAGACUGAGUUCCAUAAGAAAUAUAUCAGCCAGAGAUUCAUUGAUCAGAAUGGCAAGGAAUUUCUCGAACUAAAACAGAGUCGUAUAACUGUGAUAGAAUAUGAGCAGAAAUUUGUGAGACUCAGUCGAUAUGCCCAUGAGUGUGUUUCAACUGAAGCUAUCAUGUGUAAAAGAUUCAAAGAUGGUUUGAACGAAAACAUUAAAUUGCUGGUUGGUAUAUUUGAAAUUAAAGAGUUCAUGUUACUUGUUGAGCGAGCUUACAAAGCCGAAGAGCUCGAGAAAGAGAAAAGAAAAGCUGAUUUGAAACCAGAGAUUUCCGUAAAAGAUCUUCGGGUAAGACUUUUCACUCAGCAUCGAAGAAGUUCAGAAAUGAUUCUAGUCUAUCUGAGGAUACUGCGGGCUUUACUAGAUGAGAUCGAGACUGACCUCCUGUGAGUUCACGAGCCACUUCGAUUGCUAGUGUUGGCAAUGUUUGACAAAUUAAAGUCGAGUGCAAGCAUUAUGGUAAAUGGCAUUUUGGAGAUUGCAGAUUGCAUGAUCGAUCUUGUUUUAAAUGUGGAUCGAUGGAUCAUUUUAUCCGAGAUUGCCCUAUUUUAUCCAAGCAAAACACUGUUCAGAACGCGAGACCGAGUAAUAUGUCAGUAUGAGGCAGACCACCCAGACAUUCGGGUAAUGUGAGUGGCAGUCAGAGAGGACGAAAGAUACAACAGUUCGAUCUGAGGCUCGUGCACCUGCCAAAGCCUAUGGUACUCGCGCACGCGAGGAGGUUUCAUCCCCAGAUGUUAUUACUGGUACAUUCACUCUCUAUGAUACUAGUGUAAUUGCAUUGAUUGGUCUUGGUUCGACUCAUUCUUAUGCGUAUGAGACUUUAGUAUUCAAUAAGACUUUUUUUGUUGAGUCUACUGAAUUUGUGAUUAGAGGGUGUGUUAUGGUUAAUAAAGUAUGUAAGAAUUGUCCCCCGAUGAUUCGAGAUUCGUGCUUUUUGGCUAAUCUAAUGUUGUUGCCAUUUGAUGAGUUUAACAUAACUUUGGGUAUAGAUUGGUUGACUUUGCAUGAUGCUGUUGUAAACUACAAGAGAAAGACUAUUGAUUUACGGUGCCAGGAUGAUGAGAUUAUUCGGAUUGAAUCUAAUGAUCUGAAUGGUUUACCGGCAGUAAUUUCCUCGAUGUUAGCUCAGAAAUAUGUAAGAAAAGGUUGUGAAGCUUACUUUGCAUAUGUGUUUGACAGUAAAGUAUCCGAAAGAAAGAUUGAAUCAGUAUCUGUUGUAUGUGAGUAUUUGGAUGUGUUUCCUGAAGAAUUACCGAGUUUACCACCUAUUUGAGAAGUUGAGUUUGGUAUUGAAUUAGUACCGGUGACUACUCUGAUAUCGAUAGCUCCAUACAGAAUGGCACCUACUGAAUUAAAAGAAUUGAAAGCUCAGUUGCAAGAGUUGACAGAUAGAGGUUUCGCGCGACCGAGUUUCUUCCUCUGGGGUGCGCCUGUGUUAUUUGUGGAAAAGAAAUACGCAACUAUGAGAAUGUGUAUUGAUUAUCGCCAGCUCAAUAAGGUGACUAUAAAGAAUAAAUAUCCAUUAUCACGGAUUGAUGACCUGUUUGAUAACUGAAAGGAGCCACAGUGUUUUCGAAGAUAGGUUUGAAAUUCGGCUACUAUCAAUUGCGAGUUAAAGACUCCGAUGUGCUAAAAAUUGCCUUCCGAACGAGGUACGAACAUUAUGAAUUUCUGGUUAUGCCUUUUGGACUUACUAAUACAACUUUUGUUUUUAUGGAUUUGAUGAAUCGAAUCUUCAGACAGUAUUUAGAUCGGUUUGUGGUUGUGUUCAUUGAUGAUAUAUUGAUCUACUCCCUAAUGAAACCGAACAUGCCGAGCAUUUGAAACUUGUGUUACAGACUUUGCGAGAAAAAUAGUUAUAUAUGAAGUUUAGUAAAUGUGAGUUCUGGUUACACGAAGUUAGCUUUUUGAGACAUGUUAUUUUAGCAUCAGGUAUUCGGGUUGAUCAUAGUAAGAUUUCGGCAAUACUUAACCGGAAACCUCCGAGAAACGUUUCUGAAGUCUGAAGUUUUCUGGGACUUGCUGAUUACUAUAGACGAUUUAUGAAAGGGUUGUCGAUGAUUGCAACCCCGAUGUCCAAGCUACUGCAAAAAAGAUGUUAAGUUUGAGUGGUUAGAAAAGUGCCAGAAAAGUUUUGAUCAGUUGAAAGCCCUUUUGACCUAAGCUCCAGUGCUAGUUCAGCCAGAAUCGGGUAAAGAAUUUUUUGUUUAUAGUGAUGCAUCUUUAAACAGUUUGGGUUGUGUUUUGAUGCAAGAAGGCAAAGUUAUAGCUUAUGCCUCGAGAUAGUUAAAGCCACGUGAAAAGAACUAUCCAACGCACAAUUUAGAAUUGGCAACUAUUGUGUUUGCAUUGAAAAUAUGGUGCCACUAUCUGUUCGGUGAAAAAUGUCAUGUUUAUUCUGAUCAUAAAAGUUUGAUAUAUUUGAUGACUCAGAAGGAUCUGAAUUUGAGACAGCGUCGAUGGUUGGAGUUGCUAAAAGAUUACGAGCUAGUGAUUGACUAUCAUCUGGGAAAGGCUAAUGUUGUUGCUGAUGCUCUAAGUCAAAAAUCCCUGUUUGCUUUGCGUGCAAUGAAUGCACAUAUGGUUAUGUCAGAUGAUGGUGCGUAAUAGCCGAGUUAAAGUCAAAACCGUUAUUUAUUCAAUAGAUUUGUGAAGCUUAGAAGAUCGAUAAUUAUUUGAUAGUAAAGCGAGCUCAAUGUGAUUCGAAUGUUGAUUCAGAAUUUCAAGUGGACACCGAAGGAUGUUUGCAGUUCAGAGACCAAAUAUGCGUUUUGAGAAAUACAGAGUUGAUUCAGAUGAUUUUGAAUGAAGCUCAUAACAGUCGGCUAUCUGUUCACCCGGGUAGUACGAAGAUGUAUAAUGAUCUGAAACAACACUAUUGGUGGCAAGCUAUUAAACGAGACAUUUCUGACUUUGUAUCGAAACGUUUAGUCGUCAGCAAGUAAAAGCCAAGCAUCAGGUACCUUCUGGAUUGCUUCAGCCGAUUAUGAUACCUGAAUGGAAAUGGGACAGAGUUACGAUGGAUUUUGUAUCCGGUUUACCUUUAACACCGAGCAAGAAAGAUGCAAUCUGGGUUAUUGUAGACAGAUUGACUAAAUCUGCUCACUUUGUUUGGUUCAUACAGAUUACUCGCAUGAUAAGCUGGCUGAAUUAAAUGUUUCUCAGAUCGUGAGGUUACAUGGUAUGCCCAUAUCUAUUGUUACAGAUAGAGAUCCGAGGUUUAGAUUGCGGUUUUAGAAGAAACUACAAGAUGCACUAGGUACGAAAUUACAUUUCAGCACUGCUUUCCAUUCGCAAACAGAUGGUCAGCCUGAGCAAAUCAUUCAGAUACUUGAGGAUAUGUUGAGAUGUUGUAUUCUCGAGUUCGAAGGUAUGUGGGGACGAUAUCUUCCUCUGAUUGAAUUUGCGUAUAGUAAUAGCUUCCAAUCGAGUAUCGAAAUGGCACCUUACGAGGCUUUGUACGGUCGUAAAUGUCGUACACCCUUAUAUUGGACUGAGCUCAGUAAAAACAGGAUACACGGGGUUGAUUUGAUCAGAGAAACUGGACAGAAAGUGAAAGUGAUCCGUGAAAGUCUAAAAGUAGCAUCAGAUCGUCAGAAAUCAUAUACAGACUUGAAAUGUAAAGAUAUAGAGUUUCAGAUCGGGGAUAGAGUAUUUUUGAAAGUCUCGCCGUGGAAGAAAAUACUCAGAUUCGAUCAAAAAGGCAAAUUGAGUCCGAGAUUUAUUAGGCCGUAUGAGGUUAUAGAGCGGAUUGGGCCGGUUGCGGAUAGACUGUUGUUGCCACCUGAGUUAGAAAAGAUCCAAAAUGUAUGCCAUGUUUCGAUGCUUCGUAGAUAUCGAUCUGAUCCUCCACAUGUGAUUAGCCCGUCUGAGAUUGAGAUUAAGCCCGAUAUGAUGUACGAGGAAGAACCGAUUCGUAUUCUGGCUCGUUAGAUUAAAGAGUUACGAAAUAAGAAAAUUUUAUUGGUUAAAGUACUGUGGCAUAAGCACGAUGUUGAGGAAGCAACUUCGGAACCAGGAGGAUGCAAUAAGAGAGCAUUAUUCGCACCUAUUUAUUGGUAAUAUUUUCAGGGAAGAAAAUCUCUAAGGGGGGAGAUUGUAACAGCCCGAUUUAGGCCCUAGUCGGAACGGUGGUUUCGGGACCACGAAUCUGAGUCAUAAAAAUAUUUAAAUAUUAUUUUUCAUGUUUAUUAUAUGUGAACUUGCAUGUGUGAAAUUUUUGUAUGAAAAUUUGAUCGUUUGUGUGCUUAAUUUAAUAAAAGGACUUAAUCGUGUAAUUAAAAAUUUGAUAGUUUAAAACAUAAGGGCUGAAUUGUUAGUGGCUUUUUAAAUUGGAGUAUUUAUGUUGAAAAUAAACCAUAAACAAUUGUGAUGGAUGGUUGUGCCCAUGUUUAUAAUUGUUUUCUAUUUUAAUAUAAAGGAUAAAUAAGUAAUUACAUUAAAAGGUAACAUAUAUUAUAAUAAAACAUAAAAAUAAAUUUAUUUUUCAUUUCAUUCUCUCAUCACCAAAACUAAACAAAAGAAAAAUAAACAAAAGCUUUGUAAUAUUCGGCCAUUCUCAAGCUUGAUUCAAAGUUAGUUUGGUUUCGGUUUUUGAUAAUUUUUAUGUUUUUGAGAUCGUUGCUUCGAAUACUAUCCGACCCAUGCUUGAAUUUCUGAUUUUGAUGAAUAUUUUGAGUUAUGCCAUUGAUGAGGGCUUGAGAUUUUUGUUGUUUGAUAUGAAAUAUGAAAUAUAUUUUUUAGAUUAACAUGUUUUGUAUUGGAGUUUUUGAUGAUUUUGAGUAAUUAAGACUAAAUUAUAAAAAUAAUAAAUUAAGGGACUAAAAUAUGAAAUAAAUGAAAUAUAUGGACUAGUAUAAAUAUAAGGAAGAUUCGGCCUAACUAUGUUGUUGUGAGAUUUUGUGUAUUUUGUGUUUUAUGCAAUUAGGACUAAUUUGUAAAAGUAUAAAAUAUUAGCGGUAAAAUGGUAAUUUUCCCAUUUAUGUGUUAUUGGAUUAAAUUGAAUGAAAUUGUGUUUGAAUGAGAUUAAUUUGACAUUGUAUAGAUUAAGAACAAAAGAAAUAGGACUUGGAUCGGGGAAAAGCAAAAAUAGUCGAAUAGUCGAUUUACAUUGUUCGUCGAUAUCCGAGGUAAGUCUUUAAGCAAUUAAACAUCGUAAUUUUUGAAUGUAAAUUAGUUUAAUAUGUCGAUUUGGAAUUCAUAAAAAUAUAGUAGAGUUAGCCGAAUAUGAUUAAGCAUGGAAAUAAUAUAUUUGAGUUUAAUUCGACUGAGUUAUAACAUUUGAAAGUCUGUAUGAACUAUAUGGAAUAUCUGAAUUUUUUGAUAUAUGAAUUGUUUAUGAGACAACUUUAUAAUAGUGAUAUUCGGGCUUUG
rnacentral:lncRNA from 1 species